UGGGGAAUAUUGCACAAUGGGCGCAAGCCUGAUGCAGCCAUGCCGCGUGUAUGAAGAAGGCCUUCGGGUUGUAAAGUACUUUCAGCGGGGAGGAAGGUGUUGAGGUUAAUAACCUCAGCAAUUGACGUUACCCGCAGAAGAAGCACCGGCUAACUCCGUGCCAGCAGCCGCGGUAAUACGGAGGGUGCAAGCGUUAAUCGGAAUUACUGGGCGUAAAGCGCACGCAGGCGGUCUGUCAAGUCGGAUGUGAAAUCCCCGGGCUCAACCUGGGAACUGCAUUCGAAACUGGCAGGCUAGAGUCUUGUAGAGGGGGGUAGAAUUCCAGGUGUAGCGGUGAAAUGCGUAGAGAUCUGGAGGAAUACCGGUGGCGAAGGCGGCCCCCUGGACAAAGACUGACGCUCGGGUGCGAAAGCGUGGGGAGCAAACA
rnacentral:rRNA from 1 species